GGGCAUGCUUGAGUCCGUACCCGAUGAUUGGCGGCCGGAGGGCAACUGCAACCUCGCAUGCCUCGGGUCCAGAGGUCAAAGGCACCACAACCAACUGCCUCUUCAGCCAUAUGCUGGGUGUCCGUGUUGAACGUAGAAGAUGGUUGCCCUUCAAGCAUCAACAAAUUGGAAAUUUCAAGCCCUGAUGAGAUUACAAGCAGGGCGGAAAGGGAAUCAACACCAUCACGCCAAAACAUUGAAGGUGAAUAAGUGAACCACUAUUUAAGUAAAUAGACGAAUCAUAUUUUGUUAGAACUAACCAGUUGCUGCUAAUAUAAUCCUCUCCAAGAAGAUCAGUUUCGGACAAUAUAAUCUGCUAUUUACUUUCUAAUUUCUAUGUAUUUAAGCAUGUUCAAACUCAGUACAAUUGUACAAAUGGAUAUAUUUUGAUUUGGUGACUUGCUAGAGACGAUUGUUCUGGACAGAACCUGGACCUUAUGAUAUCUACCUAUAUAUAUGUUUCUGGCCGCAUGUCUACUUAUUCUCUUAAGGCCACAGUAGGACCGAUCGACACUAGAUAUAUCUAAUAACUGUAUCAUGGUUUUCGCAAUUUUUUUUAAAAAAAAUAACUGUAUCAUGGGAUCACAUGCCAUUCUUUUUGCUAAAAAAUCACCUGGCUUUAUUGGAAAUGAAUUACCAGGACAGUUCUUGUGCACAUUAUGCUUGGUUAACACCUUUCAUUUAUCACAAACUGAUGGGGAAUAAACACUAAGUAUGCAUAUCUUUCUAUCCUUCUGAUCAUAGCCAUCUUUGGUGUCAAGUGAUAUUAAAAUUCUGAAACUACACACACAUAGUUUAGGGGUUGUUCAUACAAUAAUCUUGAUAAGUAUGUGUCUGUAAAAUCAGCAGCAGUGGUUGUUCCUUUAGGUUGCUAGAAAUGCUUUUAGCUACAACAUUAUUUCUGUCAAAAACAUUCCAGCUGCCACAUGUGUACUCGUUUCAUUGUGUAGUGUAUUUCCGAAAAUGAUAAUUCCUACGGUUCAAAGUUUUUGGACAAAGUUUGAAACUCGAAGCACGACUGCCGUAGUAUGAUGAAGAAAUGAUGUCGCGCACUGGAGGGUGUUGCCGUCGGCCGUGCGUUAGGCGUUUGUUCUACUGGAAGUCGCUCCCAGGAGGGAGUCCAUGGUCUAUGCCUCCAGAAGCAAAGAAGGACUCCAACUACAUCAUUGACGCAGCAGCCGAGCAGAGCAUGAAAGCAUGUCGUUGAUACAAAUAUUCAGUUGCCACGUCCAUUGAUACAACAGCGGGGCAGAUCAUGAAUGUCAGAGACACGAUGGAGGUGACACUACCUUUCUCGUCUUGGCAUCAUGCAGAUACUGGUAGUUUAGAUGUUAUUUGCCACACCGCGGAGAUCUCAUGUUCAAGCCCAUCGGCAGUGCAGAAUUUUGGUCGAUGUAAAUGAUUUUACUUGAGCAGACACUUCUCCUCCCGUCUCAUUUACCAUCAGUAUUGGAAUUGGAUGUCGUUCCUAUUACACAACAAAAUGGGCAAGGU